rnacentral:rRNA from 1 species
AGAGAGAGACAUGCGCGCAUAUCAAUAAGCGGAGGAAAAGAAACUAACUAGGAUUCCCUCAGUAACGGCGAGUGAAGCGGGAAGAGCUCAAAUUUGAAAUCUUCAAGGGUUCUACCUUUACGAAUUGUAGUUUAAAGAAGUGUUUUCUGUUGAGGUUUUGGUAAAAGUUCUUUGGAAUAGGACAUCAUAGAGGGUGAGAAUCCCGUAUUUGACCAUUAUUUCCAGCUUUGUGAUACACUUUCAAAGAGUCGGAUUGUUUGGGAAUGCAGUCCAAAAUGGGUGGUAAAUUUCAUCUAAAGCUAAAUAUUGGCGAGAGACCGAUAGCGAACAAGUACCGUGAGGGAAAGAUGAAAAGAACUUUGAAAAGAGAGUUAAACAGUACGUGAAAUUGUCAAAAGGGAAGCGUUUGACACCAGUGUUGUUUUCUCGAAAAUCAAUUAAAAAAGGCAGGAUUUUGUGUUGUAUUGACUUUAUCAGCUUUCUGCACUCUCUUCUUGUCUUUCUUAAUGCACUUUUCGUUUAACAAGUCAACAUCAGUUUCUUUUGUUGUAAAAGGUCAUUGGAAGGUGGCUUUCUUUUCGGAGAAAGUGUUUAUAGCCUUUGGCCUCUGCAAUCGGAGAGAUUGAGGUCUGCAGCGUAGAUCCUUCGGGGUUAGAUACAUUUGUGCUAAGUUAUAGCCUUUCAUAGACAACUUGUUGACUAUGAUCAGUCAUGUAGCUUACUCGCUUAUGCUAUUUUACCUACGCUUAGGAUGUUGAUGUGAUACUGCGAGCA